rnacentral:rRNA from 1 species
GACGAACCGAGCGAACGUUGUUCGGAAUCACUGGGCUUAAAGGGUGCGUAGGCGGGCUGCCAAGUUUGAGGUGAAAUCCUCCGGCUCAACCGGGGAAGUGCCUUGAAUACUGGCGGUCUGGAGGGAGGUAGGGGCGUGCGGAACUAACGGUGGAGCGGUGAAAUGCGUUGAUAUCGUUAGGAACUCCGGUGGCGAAGGCGGCACGCUAGACCUCUUCUGACGCUGAGGCACGAAAGCCAGGGGAGCGAACGGGG